AACCUCCUUUAUUUAUUUGCCGACGUAGUAUGGGAAAUUAAACUACCCUGGGGAUAACAGCGUAAUUCUUAAGAGCUUGCGACCUCGAUGUUGGACUAGGAAUUUGGUAGGCUAGCCGCCUAUUCAUAUUGUUCUGUUCGAACUAUUUUUCCUACAUGAUCUGAGUUCAGACCGGCGUAAGCCAGGUCAGAUUCUAUCUUUU
rfam:Verticillium longisporum isolate VL1 genome assembly, contig: scaffold_10383